AUCUCUAGUGGCACAGUGGGUCAGUGCGCCUGGCUGUUAACCAGAACGCUGGUGGUUUGAGUCCAGCCAGGGAUG